GGGGCUAUAGCUCAGCUGGGAGAGCGCUUGAAUGGCAUUCAAGAGGUCGUCGGUUCGAUCCCGUCUAGCUCCACCA
rnacentral:tRNA from 6 species